CAGCAGCCGCGGUAAUACGGAGGGGGCUAGCGUUGUUCGGAAUUACUGGGCGUAAAGCGCACGUAGGCGGCUUGGUAAGUUAGAGGUGAAAGCCCGGAGCUCAACUCCGGAAUUGCCUUUAAGACUGCCGAGCUAGCAGGUGAGAGAGGUAAGUGGAAUUCCGAGUGUAGAGGUGAAAUUCGUAGAUAUUCGGAAGAACACCAGUGGCGAAGGCGGCUUACUGGCUCAUACUAGACGCUGAGGUGCGAAAGCGUGGGGAGCAAACAGGAUUAGAUACCCCCGUAGUCCCUGUCUCUUAUAC
rnacentral:rRNA from 1 species